rnacentral:rRNA from 1 species
UACGUAGGGGGCAAGCGUUGUCCGGAAUUAUUGGGCGUAAAGAGCGUGUAGGCGGCCAGAUAAGUCCGCUGUGAAAUCUCGAGGCUCAACUUCGAGCUGUCGGUGGAAACUAUCUGGCUAGAGUCCGGAAGAGGAGAAUGGAAUUCCUGGUGUAGCGGUGAAAUGCGCAGAUAUCGAGAGGAACACCUGCGGCGAAGGCGGGUUGCUGGGCCGACACUGACGCUGAUGCGCGAAAGCCAGGGGAGCGAACGGG